AAACCAUGCAUCGAGCAUUUCCACACUAAAUCUUUAAAUCACUCCCAAGCUUCAUACAAGUUCUCAUCCUCCAAUUGCUUGAAAGAUGUGACGUUAUUCCUCAAUCU